AUGAGGAGCUACAUGAAGACCCAUGCCAGAACUCAGCCACCUGCGGCAAGACAACGCAACUCCAACUUUGAUGAAGAACUACGAAGGAGAACUAGGCAAGGUUGGCGCCAUGGAGGAUCACCGAACGGACCACCCAUCACACCGUAUACCACUGGGCCCCACCACAGCAGCUUCGACUUCACUGCGACAAACAGCCGAGGCAAUCCCACGGACACGUCCGAGAAGAGCCGACUACCUCAACCAGUGCCACGUCUCCGACCUCGCUCACCCCCAUCAUUGUCGCCACAGAAGCCUCGACGCGAACCGACGCCAUCCACAAGUCCCGCAUGCCGAUGUCCAGCUCCAAAGACGAAGCCCCCUAGAGGGAAAACGACACCAAGGCACCGCCAUCGUCCGAUCACCCAGGAUCAAGGGUUUCCCCCGGAGCUGCACCGUUGA
rnacentral:rRNA from 1 species